rnacentral:rRNA from 1 species
AUUGAACGCUGGCGGCAUGCCUUACACAUGCAAGUCGAACGGUAACAGGUUAAGCUGACGAGUGGCGAACGGGUGAGUAAUGUAUCGGAACGUGCCCAGUCGUGGGGGAUAACUGCUCGAAAGAGCAGCUAAUACCGCAUACGACCUGAGGGUGAAAGCGGGGGAUCGCAAGACCUCGCGCGAUUGGAGGGCCGAUAUCAGAUUAGGUAGUGGGUGGGGUAAAAGCCUACCAAGCCUACGAGCUGUAGCUGGUCUGAGAGGACGACCAGCCACACUGGGACUGAGACACGGCCCAGACUCCGACGGGAGGCAGCAGUGGGGAAUUUUGGACAAUGGACGCAAGUCUGAUACAGCCAUGCCGCGUGCGGGAAGAAGGCCUUCGGGUUGUAAACCGCUUUUGUCAGGGAAGAAAAGGUUCUGGCUAAUACCCGGGACUCAUGACGGUACCUGAAGAAUAAGCACCGGCUAACUACGUGCCAGCCGCCGCGGUAAAAC